rnacentral:rRNA from 1 species
CACUGUGGAAUUCGCCCUUAGAGUUUGAUCAUGGCUCAGAUUGAACGCUGGCGGCAGGCUUAACACAUGCAAGUCGAGCGGGGGAAGGUAGCUUGCUACUGGACCUAGCGGCGGACGGGUGAGUAAUACUUAGGAAUCUGCCUAUUAGUGGGGGACAACGUUCCGAAAGGAGCGCUAAUACCGCAUACGCCCUACGGGGGAAAGCAGGGGAUCUUUGGACCUUGCGCUAAUAGAUGAGCCUAAGUCGGAUUAGCUAGUUGGUGGGGUAAAGGCUUACCAAGGCGACGAUCUGUAGCGGGUUU